rnacentral:rRNA from 1 species
AUGAACGCUAGCUACAGGCUUAACACAUGCAAGUCGAGGGUCAGCAUGGUCUUAGCUUGCUAAGGCCGAUGGCGACCGGCGCACGGGUGAGUAACACGUAUCCAACCUGCCGUCUACUCUUGGACAGCCUUCUGAAAGGAAGAUUAAUACAAGAUGGCAUCAUGAGUCCGCAUGUUCACAUGAUUAAAGGUAUUCCGGUAGACGAUGGGGAUGCGUUCCAUUAGAUAGUAGGCGGGGUAACGGCCCACCUAGUCUUCGAUGGAUAGGGGUUCUGAGAGGAAGGUCCCCCACAUUGGAACUGAGACACGGUCCAAACUCCUACGGGAGGCAGCAGUGAGGAAUAUUGGUCAAUGGGCGAGAGCCUGAACCAGCCAAGUAGCGUGAAGGAUGACUGCCCUAUGGGUUGUAAACUUCUUUUAUAAAGGAAUAAAGUCGGGUAUGGAUACCCGUUUGCAUGUACUUUAUGAAUAAGGAUCGGCUAACUCCGUGCCUGCAGCCGCGGUAAUACGGAGGAUCCGAGCGUUAUCCGGAUUUAUUGGGUUUAAAGGGAGCGUAGAUGGAUGUUUAAGUCAGUUGUGAAAGUUUGCGGCUCAACCGUAAAAUUGCAGUUGAUACUGGAUAUCUUGAGUGCAGUUGAGGCAGGCGGAAUUCGUGGUGUAGCGGUGAAAUGCUUAGAUAUCACGAAGAACUCCGAUUGCGAAGGCAGCCUGCUAAGCUGCAACUGACAUUGAGGCUCGAAAGUGUGGGUAUCAAACAGGAUUAGAUACCCUGGUAGUCCACACGGUAAACGAUGAAUACUCGCUGUUUGCGAUAUACUGCAAGCGGCCAAGCGAAAGCGUUAAGUAUUCCACCUGGGGAGUACGCCGGCAACGGUGAAACUCAAAGGAAUUGACGGGGGCCCGCACAAGCGGAGGAACAUGUGGUUUAAUUCGAUGAUACGCGAGGAACCUUACCCGGGCUUAAAUUGCAGAUGAAUUACGGUGAAAGCCGUAAGCCGCAAGGCAUCUGUGAAGGUGCUGCAUGGUUGUCGUCAGCUCGUGCCGUGAGGUGUCGGCUUAAGUGCCAUAACGAGCGCAACCCUUGUUGUCAGUUACUAACAGGUUCCGCUGAGGACUCUGACAAGACUGCCAUCGUAAGAUGUGAGGAAGGUGGGGAUGACGUCAAAUCAGCACGGCCCUUACGUCCGGGGCUACACACGUGUUACAAUGGGGGGUACAGAGGGCCGCUACCACGCGAGUGGAUGCCAAUCCCCAAAACCUCUCUCAGUUCGGACUGGAGUCUGCAACCCGACUCCACGAAGCUGGAUUCGCUAGUAAUCGCGCAUCAGCCACGGCGCGGUGAAUACGUUCCCGGGCCUUGUACACACCGCCCGUCAAGCCAUGGGAGCCGGGGGUACCUGAAGUGCGUAACCGCGAGGAGCGCCCUAGGGUA